UGUAUGCAGCUUUUUUUUGUUUCAGGUCAGUAAUUUUGUAUUGAGUGUUCAGGGGUGGCAAGGUGGUUUAAUAGGAUGCAAUUUCUUUUUAUUCUAGGUGCACUGCAUUUUCCUGGAAUUCCUGGCUCUACUGAAGAUGGAACCCUGUCUUUUUUACCGGUUUUGGCUUUUGCUGUGUGGUACCCGAGCCUCGACGUGGCAACCUGUAAACAGCAGAGGCAGGGCCGGCGAGCGGCCGAGAUGCCGCAAGGAGGCUCGGAGGGGCAAAGCCGCAUGCCGACGAGCGGUCCGAGAAGGUGCCCUGCGGGCUGCCUUUGGAAUUGGAUGAGCAUUUGAGGUGA